UGCGUGAUAUCAUAUUCUGUAUGGUACCUGU
rnacentral:piRNA from 1 species